rnacentral:rRNA from 1 species
AUUGAACGCUGGCGGCGUGCCUAACACAUGCAAGUCGAGCGGUAACAGGUGUAGCAAUACAUGCUGACGAGCGGCGGACGGGUGAGUAACGCUUGGGAAUCUGCCUAUUAGUGGGGGGACAACCCGGGGAAACUCGGGCUAAUACCGCAUACGCUCUACGGAGGAAAGCCGGGGACCGCAAGGCCUGGCGCUAAUAGAUGAGCCCAAGUCGGAUUAGCUAGUUGGUAGGGUAAUGGCCUACCAAGGCGACGAUCCGUAACUGGUCUGAGAGGACGACCAGUCACACCGGAACUGAGACACGGUCCGGACUCCUACGGGAGGCAGCAGUGGGGAAUAUUGGACAAUGGGCGAAAGCCUGAUCCAGCGACGCCGCGUGGGUGAAGAAGGCCUGCGGGUUGUAAAGCCCUUUCAGUGGGGAAGAAAAGCCUCGACCUAACACGUCGGGGUCUUGACGUAACCCAUAGAAGAAGCACCGGCUAACUCUGUGCCAGCAGCCGCCGCCGUAAC